GUGCUUUUUGGACUCCCAACGGCUAUAAACGGCUAGUUUCUUCAAUCCAACGGUUAGGAAGGACUAUUUGGAGGUUGGAGAAGUAUUUAAGAGAGAGUAUUCAUCAGAGGAAGCAAGCUUUGGAAAAUACAUCAAGUGCAUUCAAGAGAGAACCCUAGCAAGGCAAGCUUCAUCCAAGUGCUUCAUUCAAGAAUCAAAAGAAAGUGGUUGAGCAGAUUCAAAGAGUCAUCAAGAGCUCCAUCCACCCUUGAAGAGUGAAGCAUCCUUGACAAAGAAGAGAGAAGUCACAUCAAGCGAUAACUAUUCUCUAAACUCUUCUUUGUAGAUUAUAUUGUUAUAUUUGCUCAUCUAGGAGUUUAAAUCUUCUUCCUUAGUUUAUUAAACUACUUGUAAAGGUUGGUUGGUUAGCCCGCAAAACCAACGGAAUAGGUUGAUUGGUGAACCCGAAAAACCAAUUGCAAAGGUUCGUUGGUGAGCCCGUAAAACCAACAUAGGUUGUUGGUAAUCCCGUAAAACCAACGUAGGUUGUUGGUCAACCCGUAAAACCAACGUAGGUUAUUGGUGAACCCGUAAAACCAAUUGUAUAGGUUCGUUGGUGAGCCCGUAAAACCAACAUAGGUUUUUGGUGAACCCGAAAAACCAAAGUGUAAAGGUUUUUUGGAUUGUGAGCCCGGAAAACAAUCC
rnacentral:lncRNA from 1 species